AAUCAACGCUGCGGCGUGCCUCAGACAUGUAAGUCGAACGCGAAAGUCCCCUUCGGGGGACAAGUAGAGUGGCGCACGGGUGAGUAACACGUAGGUAAUCUACCUUCGGGUGGGGAAUAACGCAGGGAAACUUGCGCUAAUACCGCAUAAUGCAGCGGCACCACAUGGUGACAGUUGUUAAAGCGGGGGAUUUUCGGACCUCGCGCCUGAAGAGGAGCCUGCGGCAGAUUAGCUAGUUGGUAAGGUAACGGCUUACCAAGGCGACGAUCUGUAGCCGGCCUGAGAGGGCGGUCGGCCACACUGACACUGACAUACGGGUCAGACUCCUACGGGAGGCAGCAGUCGGGAAUUUUGGGCAAUGGGCGAAAGCCUGACCCAGCAACGCCGCGUGAAGGAUGAAAUCCCUCGGGAUGUAAACUUCGCAAGAAUAGGAAGAAUGAACGAGCGCUAACACCGUUCGUGAUGACGGUACUAUUUGUAAGCUCCGGCUAACUCCGUGCCAGCAGCCG
rnacentral:rRNA from 1 species